rnacentral:tRNA from 1 species
GCCGAAGUAGCGCAAUUGAUAGAGCAACUGAAUCGUAAUCAGUAGGUUGAGGGUUUGAUUCCUUCCUUUGGCA